rnacentral:rRNA from 1 species
AUUGAACGCUGGCGGCAUGCCUAAUACAUGCAAGUCGAGCGCGUGGCGGACGUGUGUGUCACGUCUGGGAAACUGCCUGAUGGAGGGGGAUAACUCCUGGAAACGGUAGCUAAUACCGCUUACCUUCGUAUGUGCCCAGAGGGGAUUAGCUAGUAGGUGGGGUAAAGGCUCACCUAGGCGACGAUCCCUAGCUGGUCUGAGAGGAUGACCAGCCACACUGGAACUGAGACACGGUCCAGACUCCUACGGGAGGCAGCAGUGGGGAAUAUUGCGCAAUGGGCGCAAGCCUGAUGCAGCCAUGCCGCGUGUAUGAAGAAGGCCUUCGGGUUGUAAAGUACUGUCAGCGGGGAGGCGGUACCCGAAGAGGAAGCAACGGCUAACUCCGUGCCAGCAGCCGCGGUAAUAC